rnacentral:sRNA from 1 species
UUGCAGGAGAAAGUGGCUGCUGCUAGAGCCUUUGGCAAGCUCAGCCUCCUCCCACCCCGGAAUGAGUGACAAUGCACCUGCUUCCUUGGAGAGCGGCAGCAGCUCCACCCCUACAAAUUGCAGUACCUCCUCGGCCAUCCCGCAGCCCGGUACGGCCACCAAGCCUUGGCGCAGCAAAUCCCUCAGCGUGAAGCACAGUGCCACAGUAUCCAUGCUCUCGGUCAAGCCUCCUGGGCCUGAGGCCCCCAGGCCCACACCUGAAGCCAUGAAGCCGGCCCCCAACAGUCAGAAGUCCAUGCUGGAAAAGCUGAAACUUUUCAACAGUAAAGGGGGCUCAAAGGCAGGUGAGGGCCCGGGGUCCCGGGACACAAGCUGUGAGCGGCUGGAGACUCUGCCCAGCUUCGAAGAGAGCGAGGAGCUGGAGGCCGCCAGUCGCAUGCUCACCACUGUGGGCCCUGCUUCCAGCAGCCCCAAGAUUGCACUCAAGGGCAUUGCCCAGAGGACUUUUAGCCGGGCACUGACCAACAAGAAGAGUUCUCUGAAAGGCAAUGAGAAAGAGAAGGAGAAACA